rnacentral:misc_RNA from 1 species
AUAGUGAGACUGUAUAAUAGCUGGGUCGUUGUUUAUAGGUUGUGUAGGUUGAAGAGGUGGCGAAGACUUAACUUGCAAAUCCUUGAUAUCACUUCCACGAAAAAGUAUGUAUUCAUAAGUCUUGUCACUUGGAGGUACUUGAGGCCCAUCCUUUUUUCUUCCCUCUGUUCCAAAUGAUCUUACAUUGCGUAGACCGAUACUGGACUCAUCAGUGUUGAUGUUAUAGAGAAUGCCUUCAUACCGGAUCUCACUCUUCGAAGUCAAGCUAAUCAAACUACCGAUAUACGAAUCCGCCGACGAUCCACUAGAUCUGGCCGAUGAACUCUCUGCCGCCAUAACUAUUACUAAAUUUUCACUGAAAAACUCAUAUACCUGGAAAAAAUCUAGAGAGAGAAAGAGAACGGAGGAUGAGAGAGAAAGAGUUGACUAGUUCCU